rnacentral:rRNA from 1 species
AUUGAACGCUGGCGGCAUGCCUAACACAUGCAAGUCGAACGGUAACAGGCCCUUCGGGGUGCUGACGAGUGGCGGAUGGGUGAGUAAUACUUAGGAAUCUACCCUGUAGUGGGGGACAACCCGGGGAAACGUCGGGCUAAUACCGCAUACGCUCUACGGAGGAAAGCGGGGGACCGGCAAGGCCUCGCGCUAUUGGAUGAGCCUAAGCCCGAUUAGCUAGUUGGUGGGGUAAUAGCCUACCAAGGCAAUGAUCGGUAGCUGGUCUGAGAGGACGACCAGCCACACUGGGACUGAGACACGGCCCAGACUCCUACGGGAGGCAGCAGUGGGGGAAUAUUGGACAAUGGGCGAAAGCCUGAUCCAGCGAUGCCGCGUGUGUGAAGAAGGCC